GAUGAACGCUGGCGGCGUGCCUAAUACAUGCAAGUCGAGCGAACAGACGAUGAGCUUGCUCCUCGGACGUUAGCGGCGGGCGUGUGAGUAACACGUGUAUAACCUACCUAUAAGACUGGUAUAACUUCGGGAAACCGGAGCUAAUACCGGAUAAUAUAUUGAACCGCAGUGUUCAAUAGUGAAAGACGGUUUUGCUGUCACUUAUAGAUGGAUCCGCGCCGCAUGAGCUAGUUGGUAAGGUAACGGCUUACCAAGGCAACGAUGCGUAGCCGACCUGAGAGGGUGAUAGGCCACACUGGAACUGAGACACGGUCCAGACUACUACGGGAGGCAGCAGUAGGGAAUCUUCCGCAAUGGGCGAAAGCUUGACGGAGCAACGCCGCGUGAGUGAUGAAGGUCUUCGGAUCGUAAAACUCUGUUAUUAGGGAAGAACAAAUGUGUAAGUAACUAUGCACGUCUUGACGGUACUUAAUCAGAAAGCAACGGCUAACUACGUG
rnacentral:rRNA from 1 species